UGGGGAAUUUUGGACAAUGGGGGCAACCCUGAUCCAGCCAUGCCGCGUGUGUGAAGAAGGCCUUCGGGUUGUAAAGCACUUUUGUCCGGGAAGAAAUCGCACCUGAUAAUACCGGGUGUGGAUGACGGUACCGGAAGAAUAAGGACCGGCUAACUACGUGCCAGCAGCCGCGGUAAUACGUAGGGUCCAAGCGGUAAUCGGAAUUACUGGGCGUAAAGCGUGCGCAGGCGGUUGUGCAAGACCGAUGUGAAAUCCCCGGGCUUAACCUGGGAAUUGCAUUGGUGACUGCACGGCUAGAGUGUGUCAGAGGGGGGUGGAAUUCCACGGGUAGCAGUGAAAUGCGUAGAGAUGUGGAGGAAUACCGAUGGCGAAGGCAGCCCCCUGGGAUAACACUGACGCUCAUGCACGAAAGCGUGGGGAGCAAACAGG
rnacentral:rRNA from 1 species